rnacentral:rRNA from 1 species
GACGAACGCUGGCGGCGUGCUUAACACAUGCAAGUCGAACGGACAGGCCCUGCUUUUGUGGGGUGCUCGAGUGGCGAACGGGUGAGUAACACGUGAGUAACCUGCCCUUGACUUUGGGAUAACUUCAGGAAACUGGGGCUAAUACCGGAUAGGAGCUCCUGCUGCAUGGUGGGGGUUGGUAAGUUUCGGCGGUUGGGGAUGGACUCGCGGGUUAUCAGCUUGUUGGUGGGGUAGUGGCUUACCAAGGCUUUGACGGGUAGCCGGCCUGUGAGGGUGAUCGGCCACAUUGGGACUGAGAUACGGCCCAGACUCCUACGGGAGGCAGCAGGGGGGAAUAUUGCACAAUGGGAGGAAGCCUGAUGCAGCAACGCCGGGUGCGGGAUGACGGCCUUCGGGUUGUAAACCGCUUUCGCCUGUGACGAAGCGUGAGUGACGGUAAUGGGUAAAGAAGCACCGGCUAACUACGUG